rnacentral:rRNA from 1 species
UACGUAGGGGGCAAGCGUUGUCCGGAUUUAUUGGGCGUAAAGAGCGUGUAGGCGGCCAUGUAGGUCCGUUGUGAAAACUCGAGGCUCAACCUCGAGACGCCGAUGGAAACCAUAUGGCUCGAGUCCGGAAGAGGAGAGUGGAAUUCCUGGUGUAGCGGUGAAAUGCGCAGAUAUCAGGAAGAACACCCGUGGCUAAGGCGGCUCUCUAGUACGGUACUGACGCUGAGACGCGAAAGCGUGGGGAGCGAACAGG